rnacentral:rRNA from 1 species
UACAGAGGGGGCAAGCGUUGUUCGGAAUUACUGGGCGUAAAGGGCGCGUAGGCGGCCCACUAAGUCGAACGUGAAAUCCCCGGGCUCAACCCGGGAACUGCGUCCGAUACUGGUGGGCUUGAAUCCGGGAGAAGGAUGCGGAAUUCCAGGUGUAGCGGUGAAAUGCGUAGAUAUCUGGAGGAACACCGGUGGCGAAGACGGCAUCCUGGACCGGCAUUGACGCUGAGGCGCGAAAGCCAGGGGAGCAAACGGG